rnacentral:lncRNA from 1 species
ACACACACACCUUGCAGUAACAAAAAGAAACCGAAAAAAAAAAUCAACACAAAACAACUUAAAACAAUACAUUAAGUCACCGCCAAAACAAGAAAAAAAAAAAAGCACCACUUAUUCUUUCCUUUUACUCUCCUUACUUACAAAUUUUAUUAAUUUUACUUAUUUACACUCACGUUUCUCCGCCUCGGCCUCCACCCUGUUGCGUCGCCUCAAGUCACGGGUGAAGUCGGACCUCAGAGUGUUGAUCCACGAGUUAUAGUCACUCCCGACACGGUUCGAAGCCCUACAGUCUCUCUGCUCUUCCCAUCUACACCUGAACCAAGCAAACUCCAACAUCCUUCACCAAACAGGGAGCCAAGCACUAGCAGGGUCUGAACUGUACAGUAGAUGAUGGUAUUCUGUUCUUCUGACUGACGAGAUUCUACCAUGGAACCGUAUAGUGUCGACGUCAUUAACAUAGUUAUGGCGUCGACCGGAAGUAACUGGCCAUUCACGGGACUGUCUAAGUAUGACAUGCAUUGUCUCCUGUACCAAUGGGGUAUCCAUACCUAACGGUCUGAACAAAGAAUAAUUCUUGUCCUUCUAUAUUAAACAAAACGAUUUGCGGAGGAGCGUUACGGCUAGCGGUGACGAAAGUGCCAACAUAUUUCAUGUCCCUUUCACUCUAUUAUUCAUGAUUAUUCAUGCAUUCAGUGUUUGUUUUACAACUAAGCAAGGUCUAUUUCCAUCCACCAAAAUUCUUAAUACAUGGCUUGGUCAGCUACUGCCUGUCGUCCCGACAAGUCUUCUAUAUUACAAUAAAAUUCAUGAAUUCCUAAUAUUAUCUUACAUUUCAUCUUAUUUUAAAUCUCUUCUAUUCUAUUGUAAUAUAAACAUAAAAUUUCAACACUUGAUUAUGUACAGCAUCAUUGGAUAUUUUUGUAGGUAUAUAAGAUACAACGUAUCAUAAUUCAUUGUAUGCAAUACAUUAUCAUGAUCAGUUUA